rnacentral:rRNA from 1 species
AUUGAACGCUGGCGGCAGGCCUAACACAUGCAAGUCGAACGAGUGGCAGAAGGGUGAGUAAUGUGAGGGAAACUGCCAGAGGGAGGGGGAUAACUAAGGGAAACGGGAGCUAAUACCGCAUACCAGCAGAUGGGCCGAGAUGGGAUUAGAUUGUUGGUGGGGUAACGGCUCACCAAGGCGACGAUCCCGAGCUGGUCUGAGAGGAUGACCAGCCACACUGGAACUGAGACACGGUCCAGACUCCUACGGGAGGCAGCAGUGGGGAAUAUUGCACAAUGGGCGCAAGCCUGAUGCAGCCAUGCCGCGUGUAUGAAGAAGGCCUUCGGGUUGUAAAGUACUUUCAGCGGGGAGGCGUUACCCGCAGAAGAAGCACCGGCUAACUCCGUGCCAGCAGCCGCGGUAAUAC